rnacentral:rRNA from 1 species
ACAGUUCGGUCCCUAUCCGUCGCGGGCGUUGGAAAUUUGAGAGGAGCUGUCCUUAGUACGAGAGGACCGGGAUGGACUUACCGCUGGUGUACCAGUUGUUCUGCCAAGGGCAUUGCUGGGUAGCUAUGUAGGGAAGGGAUAAACGCUGAAAGCAUCUAAGUGUGAAGCCCACCUCAAGAUGAGAUUUCCCAUUUCUUUAAGAAAGUAAGAUCCCUGAGAGAUGAUCAGGUAGAUAGGUCAGGAGUGGAAGUACAGUGAUGUAUGGAGCGGACUGAUACUAAUCGAUCGAGGACUUAACCAAU